GAAAUAUUUUAAAAUAAACUUCUAAUUUAUUAAUAGUGAUUAACUUCAUUAAUAUUUCU
rnacentral:tRNA from 1 species